rnacentral:rRNA from 1 species
UGGGGAAUUUUGGACAAUGGGCGAAAGCCUGAUCCAGCAAUGCCGCGUGUGUGAAGAAGGCCUUCGGGUUGUAAAGCACUUUUGUCCGGAAAGAAAUCCUUGGCUCUAAUACAGUCGGGGGAUGACGGUACCGGAAGAAUAAGCACCGGCUAACUACGUGCCAGCAGCCGCGGUAAUACGUAGGGUGCAAGCGUUAAUCGGAAUUACUGGGCGUAAAGCGUGCGCAGGCGGUUUGCUAAGACCGAUGUGAAAUCCCCGGGCUCAACCUGGGAACUGCAUUGGUGACUGGCAGGCUAGAGUAUGGCAGAGGGGGGUAGAAUUCCACGUGUAGCAGUGAAAUGCGUAGAGAUGUGGAGGAAUACCGAUGGCGAAGGCAGCCCCCCUGGGCCAAUACUGACGCUCAUGCACGAAAGCGUGGGGAGCAAACAGGAUUAGAUACCCUGGUAGUCCACGCUCUAAACGAUGUCAACUAGUUGUUGGGGAUUCAUUUCCUUAGUAACGUAGCUAACGCGUGAAGUUGACCGCCU